AGUGAAGCGGGAAAAGCUCAAAUUUAAAAUCUGGCAGCCUUUGGUUGUCCGAGUUGUAAUCUAGAGAAGUGUUACCCGCGUCGGACCGUGCAUAAGUCUCCUGGAAUGGAGCGUCAUAGAGGGUGAGAAUCCCGUCUUUGGCAUGGACUACCGAGGCUUUUGUGGUGCGCUCUCAAAGAGUCGAGUUGUUUGGGAAUGCAGCUCAAAAUGGGUGGUAAAUUCCAUCUAAAGCUAAAUAUUGGCGAGAGACCGAUAGCGAACAAGUACCGUGAGGGAAAGAUGAAAAGAACUUUGGAAAGAGAGUUAAACAGUACGUGAAAUUGCUGAAAGGGAAACGCUUGAAGUCAGUCGCGUUGGCUGGAAAUCAACCUUGCUUUUGCUGGGUGUACUUUCUGGUUGACGGGCCAGCAUCAGUUUUGACCGAUGGAAAAAGUCUAAAGGAAUGUGGCAUCUCAGGAUGUGUUAUAGCCUUUAGUCGUAUACAUCGGUUGGGACUGAGGAAUUCAGCACGCCGCAAGGCCGGGUCUUUGACCACGUUCGUGCUUAGGAUGCUGGCAUAAUGGCUUUAAUCGACCCGUCU
rnacentral:rRNA from 1 species